AAGAUCACCUGUCAUUAGUAACAUUGGCUGGUGAUAGUUUCCUUUUCGCAUAUUCCUUCGACGCCGUGCGAUUCAGGACAGGAGUGUCGUUCGUUUCUUUCGCUAAUUCGCGUCAAUUCGCUAAUUACAACAAGAUUAUCGCGGAGGCAGAUUGAUUUCGAGCGCUUUGGUUUUUUCUCGUAUAUUCCUUCGACGCCGUGCGACGAAGCGUGAGAUUCGCGUCAGGAUUGCCGUUCAAAGUGCCGGGCGUCUUCACCGAUUAAUGAGUAUAUGAGUAUCAUACUGUGCAAGAAAAUAUUAGGUAUUUCUCUCGACGUUAUGCUAGAAGAUGCAAUUCGCGACGGAAGUCUCAUUCAAUCACUCAUCCGCGGCGUUCGAUUCGAAGGCGCGAAUCUAACCACAAUUCGGGGUGUUGCGUUCCCAGCGUACUUGUCAGUCUCGACCUGUUCGUUCGCUCGUGUUACACGCCAUAGCUAGCCAUUACAUCACGUGCGCGUAUUAUACGUUAUUCGAGUUGUAAAUGAUGCAUCGCCGCGCCGUCAGAUUCGCUCGCAGAAGCACCGUGUGUCCGUGGCGUCUGUUCGAUCGCCCCCGUGACGUCACGAGAUCGCGAAUUCCGCUAGUUUCACGCGAGUGAGUUUUCCCGCGUAAUUCCUUCGAUGCCGUGUGAGUGUCGUUCGACGUGUAGCCGAGCCUCCGCUGAUUAAUGCGUACAUUGUGUUGUGAUAUAAUGUGCAACGAAGAAAGCAUCUGGAAAAAAGGAAUCUCAGAAGAGUCUUACAAAACCUGAAGAAGCCUGAGAGGAGGAGGAGGCCUAGGACAGGCAUCGGGCGCCGGCGGAGCAACUUUGCGAAUCAUCAUUGUCAACGUUGCAGUACCUCCGCUGUUGCGCAUCAAUCGG
rnacentral:lncRNA from 13 species